rnacentral:rRNA from 1 species
UCCUACGGGGGGCAGCAGUGGGGAAUAUUGCACAAUGGGGGAAACCCUGAUGCAGCGACGCCGCGUGAGUGAGGAAGUAUUUCGGUAUGUAAAGCUCUAUCAGCAGGGAAGAAAAUGACGGUACCUGACUAAGAAGCCCCGGCUAACUACGUGCCAGCAGCCGCAGUAAUACGGAGGAUGCGAGCGUUAUCCGGAUUUAUUGGGUUUAAAGGGUGCGCAGGCGGCGAGUUAAGUCAGCGGUAAAAUUUCGGGGCUCAACCCCGACGAGCCGUUGAAACUGGCUUGCUAGGGUGGGCGAGAAGUAU